AUCCAGGCCGUGUCCCAUCAUCAUGGGGACCGGAACGUGUCGUCCACACGGACACUGAGGAUGUCCGGGCUGAGGCGCCUCCGGGGAGUGUCCCGUCGUCGUGGGGACGGGGACGUGUUGUCCGGACUGUGUCCCGUCAUUGUAGGGAUAGGCGGUGUGCCGUCCACACGGACACAAGGGGCACCGGGCCCCGUCCACACAGCUCAUGGCUGAGUUCGGACGCCCUGAGGCUUCUGAGGAGAACUGGUGGUCGCCAAUCUUCUGGCGUCAGCACGCGGCGGCCUGAGGGGAGGCCCGGGGCCGCCACCUGUGGGCUGUAGUCUCCUCCUCCAGUCUGCAGCUCGGGAAAGAUAAAAUUCACCAGGCCAAGAGAAUCAUUUAAGACUCUGCAGUGUCCAAUAACUGUUUCUGCAUCCGAGGUAUUAAACUCAUUAUGAAAGCCUUGAUCCCCUUUAACGUUAUUAGUGAAGUUCAAAUUUCUAUCCUGCAACAAGUUCUUCCUGCUGAGAAGAUGAAGCUGAUUGAAGUCCAUGGGAGGUGGGUAUCAGUAAACAGAUGGGAGCUUUUGCUCUCAGAUCAAGUAACUUCUAUAUUCUCUCCACAUGAGCAGGUUUUUUCUCUUCUUUCCUUUUAAGACAGAGGCACUGUACACUGAUCAGGCAUUUCUUCACCCAGCAUCUUGUGAUGAAUUUUUUGAAGACUCACUGGGAUUUCAAACACACAGUCUGCAUAUUCAGCCAUUAGGAAGGAGGAUUAUGAUGCUUUUCAGGAACAGAACCAGCUGUGGUUUGAUCUAUCAUCCGAUACAUCCCAACAGUGGGAAAUACAUCUUACUUGAUUGA
rnacentral:lncRNA from 1 species